CGGCGGCGGAGCUCCGGUGAGCCCUUCCCCCAUCCGAGGCGGCCACGGGAUUAGACUAGGAAAUGCGCUCCGCCUAGGAUCCCCUUCGUCUCCAUGUUCCGGCAGGAGGGCACCAGCUUCAACAAGGGGACCCUAAGGCCGCAGUUCUCCUGGAUCAAAGUGAUCGGCAGCGGAGCAAUCCCAUUUUUUUUUUCGCGGAGGACGACGCGCGGAGACGCUGAUGGGGACGUCGAGCGGCGAACCUGGACGUGGAUGCGCCGCGCCGUUGCCUUCCAUUGUUUCAGGUCUUCCCGCUAACUUCAGGAACUGUUGGCCCUUUGCCUGAUUGGAUUUGGACUGCAUUGACGUCUCCUGCUAGGAGGCAACGACCUGCAAUUCGUUUUCUUGUCAAACAAUCGUCUGGAACUGGAAGCAUGCCUAUGUACUUCUGCGACAUGGAAUGGUUGUAGACAAUAGACCUGUCAAACAACAGCUUAUCAGGUGAACUUCCUAAUCAGUGGAAGCAGAGCAAAAGACUAUUUGAGCUGGACUUCUCGAGUAACAACCUUGAGGGAGAAAUACCAUCGAGCAUGGGCGCUCUUACUUCACUUUUUUCUUUGCAUUUAAGCAGGAACACGCUAUCCGGAGUCUUGCCUGCCUCUCUAAGCUCAUGCAACCGUUUGAAUUUACUUGAUCUUGGAGAGAACGACUUUGAUGGAGUGAUAGUUCCAUACCUUCAUGGAUUGGAGAUACUCUGCAAUUCCUCAUGCUUCUUAGGCUGCGGUCAAAUCAGUUCUCCGGAAGUAGUCCUGCUGGAUUGUCACAACUGGUAGGCCUUCCAAGUGUUGGAUCUUGCUACCAACAAGCUUUCAGGGCCUGUACCACAAGUAUUGGAAACUUCACCUUUAUGGCUUCACAAGAAUCAAGACCUAUGUCGCCGACGAUGGCUUUUAAUCGUGGUUACCAGCGGCACUUUGUAAACUGAUAUUAUCAUUUAAACUGAAACUCUGGAAGCCAUCAGUAUUCAGUGCUCGCAUUGUGAGCCUUUUCUGAUUAACAAGGAAAAGUGCUUGCUAUGCUGUAGAUAUUCAUUUUUUUUUUCAUUAUGUAGUCUGCAAAUUCGGAUCACACCCCUUGGAAGCUUGUGAGCUGUGAUCGACUGAUCACACUGGCUGGCUCUUUGCACGAUCUUUCUAUUAUGUAGUCUGCAAAUUCGGAUUUGGUGCUGGCAUGAUCCUUAUUCGCACUGAUAAAAGUUUAGCUUCAGAUUUUACUGAA